UUAAUAGACGAGGGCAAACAUAUAGAUGCAAAGACUAAAAAAGCUUUUCCCUCUGCAGCUGGAAGUGAAAAAAUUAUUAUCAACAGUGAUAAGGAGAUCAAAAGGUGCUAUCGUCCUUCUCUGGAAACUUUUAAACAUCAGUAUUUGGAUAAUCAUACAGCUGUGAUUUUGACUGGACUGAUGGAUCACUGGCCAGCAGUCAAUGGAUCCAAAUCCUGGAGUCUAGAUAGGAUCCGGUCCAUGGCUGGACAUCGCUUAGUUCCAGUAGAAAUAGGUUCAAAGUACACAGAAGAGAAUUGGACCCAGAGUCUGAUGACAGUAAGUGAAUUCAUUGAAAAGUUCAUUAACAAUUCUUCUGGAUGCACUUCAACUGGAUAUCUGGCACAGCACCAGCUAUUUGAUCAGAUACCAGAGAUGAGAGAGGAUAUCAUUAUACCAGAUUAUUGUUGCUUGGGGUCAGAGGAUGAGGUUGACAUUAAUGCUUGGUUUGGUCCCCAAGGAACUGUGUCCCCAUUACACCAGGACCCAAAAGAAAACUUUCUAACACAAGUAUUUGGGGAAAAGUAUAUUCGCCUUUACUCUACAGAUUUCACAAAACAUGUGUAUCCCCAUGAAACCAUGCUACUGAAAAAUACAAGUCAGGUGGACAUUGAAAACCCCGACUUUGAAAGGUUUCCAUUGUUUAGGAAUGCUUCCUACUCAGAAUGCAUUCUCAAGGCGGGAGAAAUGUUGUAUAUUCCCAAAGAGCACUGGCAUUUUGUUAAAUCUUUAUCAAUUAGUUUUUCCGUGAGUUUUUGGUGGAAAUAAAUAUUAUUUUACACU
rnacentral:misc_RNA from 1 species